rnacentral:tRNA from 1 species
GCCCGGGUGGCGGAAUGGUAGACGCGGGGGUCUCAAAAACCCCUGUCCGAAAGGAUGUGCGGGUUCGACUCCCGCCCCGGGUAC